ACGCACACGGGAAGCAUUGACGCGCGGCUCACACACUGGCCGCCGGGACCGCGCCGAGCUACUGGCGAGACCGACCCGCGGGGAC
rnacentral:ncRNA from 1 species